AGACCCGAAACCCGGUGAUCUAGCCAUGGGCAGGUUGAAGGUUGGGUAACACUAACUGGAGGACCGAACCGACUAAUGUUGAAAAAUUAGCGGAUGACCUGUGGCUGGGGGUGAAAGGCCAAUCAAACCGGGAGAUAGCUGGUUCUCCCCGAAAGCUAUUUAGGUAGCGCCUCGUGAAUUCAUCUCCGGGGGUAGAGCACUGUUUCGGCUAGGGGGCCAUCCCGGCUUACCAACCCGAUGCAAACUGCGAAUACCGGAGAAUGUUAUCACGGGAGACACACGGCGGGUGCUAACGUCCGUCGUGAAGAGGGAAACAACCCAGACCGCCAGCUAAGGUCCCAAAGUCAUGGUUAAGUGGGAAACGAUGUGGGAAGGCCCAGACAGCCAGGAUGUUGGCUUAGAAGCAGCCAUCAUUUAAAGAAAGCGUAAUAGCUCACUGGUCGAGUCGGCCUGCGCGGAAGAUGUAACGGGGCUAAACCAUGCACCGAAGCUGCGGCAGCGACACUGUGUGUUGUUGGGUAGGGGAGCGUUCUGUAAGCCUGUGAAGGUGUGUCGUGAGGCAUGCUGGAGGUAUCAGAAGUGCGAAUGCUGACAUAAGUAACGAUAAAGCGGGUGAAAAGCCCGCUCGCCGGAAGACCAAGGGUUCCUGUCCAACGUUAAUCGGGGCAGGGUGAGUCGACCCCUAAGGCGAGGCCGAAAGGCGUAGUCGAUGGGAAACGGGUUAAUAUUCCCGUACUUGGUGUUACUGCGAAGGGGGGACGGAGAAGGCUAUGUUGGCCGGGCGACGGUUGUCCCGGUUUAAGCGUGUAGGUGUGUGUUCCAGGUAAAUCCGGUUCACUUUAACACUGAGGCGUGACGACGAGGCACUACGGUGCUGAAGCAACAAAUGCCCUGCUUCCAGGAAAAGCCUCUAAGCAUCAGGUAACAUCAAAUCGUACCCCAAACCGACACAGGUGGUCAGGUAGAGAAUACCAAGGCGCUUGAGAGAACUCGGGUGAAGGAACUAGGCAAAAUGGUGCCGUAACUUCGGGAGAAGGCACGCUGACACGUAGGUGAAGUGAUUUACUCAUGGAGCUGAAGUCAGUCGAAGAUACCAGCUGGCUGCAACUGUUUAUUAAAAACACAGCACUGUGCAAACACGAAAGUGGACGUAUACGGUGUGACGCCUGCCCGGUGCCGGAAGGUUAAUUGAUGGGGUCAGCGCAAGCGAAGCUCCUGAUCGAAGCCCCGGUAAACGGCGGCCGUAACUAUAACGGUCCUAAGGUAGCGAAAUUCCUUGUCGGGUAAGUUCCGACCUGCACGAAUGGCGUAAUGAUGGCCAGGCUGUCUCCACCCGAGACUCAGUGAAAUUGAACUCGCUGUGAAGAUGCAGUGUACCCGCGGCAAGACGGAAAGACCCCGUGAACCUUUACUAUAGCUUGACACUGAACAUUGAGCCUUGAUGUGUAGGAUAGGUGGGAGGCUUUGAAGUGUGGACGCCAGUCUGCAUGGAGCCGACCUUGAAAUACCACCCUUUAAUGUUUGAUGUUCUAACGUGGACCCGUUACCCGGGUUGCGGACAGUGUCUGGUGGGUAGUUUGACUGGGGCGGUCUCCUCCUAAAGAGUAACGGAGGAGCACGA
rnacentral:rRNA from 3 species